rnacentral:lncRNA from 1 species
GGGGUGCUCCUGGCAUCUAGGGUGGAGGCCAGAUAUGUUACUAAACAUCUUAGACAGCCCCGCACAACAACAAUUAUCUGGCCUAAAACGUAUGCAGUGCCGAGGCGAGAAAGCCUGGUCUACAUCAGUGGUUCUCACUCAAGGCUUUCCCAAGAGUGGUCCGCAACCCGGCAGUCUCAGCACUGGGCACAGAUUAGGACGGUAAACUCUCGGGCUCCUUGUCUGACCUAUGGAGGCAGAAACCCUGGAGGUGGAGUCCAGCAAUCUGUGAAAUCAAAUGCGUGACCACGAGCUGAACUUUUCAGCCUUGUUAGCGGAAGUCUGGUCAGGACCCAGCACAUCCGCAUCACCUGUGCGUUUCCAGAGCAGACCAGCGAGCCGGCUCACACCUCGUGAUGCAAAAGCCGCUUACAACAAGAGCCCCGGGUGACUCGCGUGCCUGUGGAGGCGGCGGAGCGCCACUGCAGAGCACGAAGCUUUCCCGUAGAGCCUCGCUUUCUCCCCCGUGGGCGCCCCGCGGAAACCAGCCUGCCCAGCCUUGGAGCAGCUGGUUCUCCAAGUGUGGUCCUGGAACCAGCAGCUCAGCAUCACCAGGGAGCUUGCGAGAGAUGCAGAUCCUGGACCACCGCAGACCCGGUGGAUCCCGGUCUGGGGCGGGGCCCGCAGCCUGGGUCUAACAGCCCUGCGGGGUUCUGACGCGAACGUCUGAGAACCUGCGCUUUAGAGACGGUGGGUCUGGACGGCAGACAGAGCUGUGGCCUUCGCGGAUGGUUUAGGGAGCGCCUGCAGACGCCAGCCCUGUGCACGCACCGCCGGUACCCUAGAGGGGUUCGACGUGGUUUUAGGGCCAAUUCCUAAUUAGGAGAAUCUGAGUCAAUGUUAUUUCGUUGGUUCUGUGAAUAAUAACAUUUUGGAUUACACGGAAAAUUUAGUUUACAAAGUGCCUGCCAUGGUAUUUAAUUUAAUCCUCACUGUAACACAAGGACGUAGAUGUAAUUGCCUCCCACGGCAGAUGGGACAACUGAGCUUGAGAAAGAUUAAGUGACUUUUUAAAGGGCAUAUUGAAAGGGGCAGGGCCAGUCUUGAAAUCCAAAAGCACAAUUGCAAAGAGAUCUUCUACAAGCCUUUUGAAAAGUUAAGUAGAGGAGGUUUCAAAUGCAGCUGAAAACUCCACGAUGGUUUUCACCUUGUGGGAAACAAAUUUCAGGCACAGAUUAAUGAAGACAGACCCAUAAAACAUAAAAUUCAAAACUCCCUCUCUAAAAGUUCAACAACAAUAACAGAAAUACGAAUAUAUAGGGAGAAAGAGAUAAAGCAAAUAAGGCAGAGUGUUAACAUUCGGUGAAUCUAGGUGGAUUUAUAAGUUCUUGUUGCAGAAUUUCUGCCACUUUUCUUUGACAUAAAGUCAACAGGACCUUCAACACUGGUCUGGGUGCUGGC